AGUGAACGCUGGCGGUAUGCCUAACACAUGCAAGUCGAACGGCAGCACAGUAAGAGCUUGCUCUUACGGGUGGCGAGUGGCGGACGGGUGAGGAAUACAUCGGAAUCUACUUUUUCGUGGGGGAUAACGUAGGGAAACUUACGCUAAUACCGCAUACGACCUACGGGUGAAAGCAGGGGAUCUUCGGACCUUUCGCGAUUGAAUGAGCCGAUGUCGGAUUAGCUAGUUGGCUGGGUAAAGGCCCACCAAGGCGACGAUCCGUAGCUGGUCUGAGAGGAUGAUCAGCCACACUGGAACUGAGACACGGUCCAGACUCCUACGGGAGGCAGCAGUGGGGAAUAUUGGACAAUGGGCGCAAGCCUGAUCCAGCCAUACCGCGUGGGUGAAGAAGGCCUUCGGGUUGUAAAGCCCUUUUGUUGGGAAAGAAAAGCAGCAGGUUAAUACCCCGCUGUUCUGACGGUACCCAAAGAAUAAGCACCGGCUAACUUCGUG
rnacentral:rRNA from 1 species